rnacentral:misc_RNA from 1 species
AGAAGAAGAAGAAAAUGGGAAAAUCUACAGCUUCUUCUUGCUUAAAGAUCAUUGCUUGUGGCAGUGAUUCUGUUGACCGUGAUGAACUUGAAGUUCAUCCUGAGAGUAAAAGCUCAAGUGAUAAACGUGGAUGGAGUUUCCGCAAGAAAUCUACCAGGCAUCGUGUAUUAAGCAAUUCAGUAGUUUCAGAAACACCAUCUGGGAACAAGGACUGGCCAGAAGCUGCUAAUGCCAAUCUGCAAACACAAUCUAACUCUACCAUUCCAGAGAAGGCAUCUGUCGUCCAAUGGGCAGAUGAGAAACCCCAGUUUUCAACGGUCGAGAAGUCCCAGGUCUCGGCAGACGAGAAGCCCCAGAUCCUGGAGGAUGAGACGCCCCUAGUCUCUGUGGAUAAGAAGCCCCAGGUCUCAGCGGAUGAGAAGCCCCGUGUCUCCACAGACGCGAAGCCCCAGCUCUCGGUGGAGGUCUCAGCGGAUGAAAAGCCCUUGAUAUCCGAAGAAGAGAAGCUCGAGGUCUCCGAAGAUGAGAAGCCCAACAUCUCUAUAGAUGAGAAGCCUCCUAUCUCAUCAGAAGAGAAAUCCCUGGUCUCAGACUUGGUGGAUGCAAAACAAUCAGAGUCAGUAAUAAUAGCUGGAUUUAAUGAUGCUAAAGCUGAUGUCAUUCCGGAUGAACACGCUCUUGUUAUUCAGACUGCAGUCAGAGCAUUUCUGGCACGAAGAGCUCAAUUAAAGCAAAAGCAUAUAACUAAAUUGCAAGCUGCUGUACGUGGACAUUUAGUUCGCAGGCAAGCUGUAGGAACUCUGCGAUGUGUCCAAGCUAUUGUCAAAAUGCAAAUUCUUGUUCGAGCACGUCACACUAAUCGCAUUGCAGAAGAAUCUAGUAUCAAGGAGAAGCUAAAAGGAAAAGAGAACUCAGGAACAAAAUCAGAGUUCACAUACAUUUCAAUUUCAAAGCUACUGAGCAAUAGCUUCGCUCAACAGCUCCUUGAAUCAACUCCAAGGACCAAAAGUAUAAAUAUUAAGUGUGACCCUUCCAAAUCUGAUUCUGCCUGGAAAUGGUUAGAGAGAUGGAUGUCUGUUGCAUCACCAGGAAAUCAACCGUCACCACAAUCAGAAUUAUCUGCCGAUCAGCAGGAGAAUGAACCUAUCGAGCACCCCAGUAACCUUAUUGAAAAUGAAGUUCAGCUUGAUUCCGAGUCAAUGGACUUCAGACAGGGCGAGGAGGCAUCCUUGUCUGCAGUGCCAUCUGAAAGUGAUGAUAAUUUGAUCACUUAUGAUGCAGACAGCUUAGAUUUUCAAGCCAACAUACCCUUUUCGCCUCCUCAGCCUCAGAAUGUUGAUGAAAAAACUUCAAGAGAUGACACUUUCUGUUCUAUUCCUACUCAACAUAAGGAGGCCAAGGCUCUCCCUGAGACGGAGCCCAAUUCUUUCCCUGCAAACACUGAAGUUGAGAGAGAGGAUACACAUUCCCUGGAACUUUCAGAGACUGAGAGCAAAAAGAUUUUACAUGGAUCAAGGAAGGCAAGUAAUCCUGCAUUUAUUGCUGCUCAGACAAAGUUUGAGGAACUCACUUUGGCAGCUAAAUCAACCAAAGAUUCUAGUUUGCCCAAUCAUAAAACAGAAGAUGAAUCUAGUGAAGAUACGUUUUCAACUAUCACUAAUCAUUCAUUUGGGGCAAGGGAUGCUGCUCCAUCAGAAAAUUCUGUUCCUCACAGUACAAGAGCUCAAGUUGGUGGUUCAGAAUGUGGCACGGAGCUUUCUAUUUCUUCUACCCUGGAUUCACCAGAUAGGUGUGAAGUCGGAGGUCAUGUAUUUGAGCAGGAACUUCCUUCCAAUGGUGGCACUGACCAUCAUAAGAGCAAUGGAUACCCUCACAUUGAAGAUGAUAGUACAAAUGACUUAUCACACUCCGACUAUGUUCAGGCAGGGAGAGAGGAUCCUACUGAUGAUGCUAAGCAUGUAGAUGUUAUGGUCAGUUCAGAUCUAUCACCCGAAGAGCAGAAGCCAGAGAACAAUUCAGUUAAUGUUCAAAUAGAGCAAGAAGCUAGGACGGAUCGGCUAGACAAGUCAUCACCAGACGCAUCUCCAAGGAGCCAUAUAACUGUCCCUGAAUCCCAAGGGACACCUUCUAGUCAAGUGUCCGUGAAUCCUAAGAAGAUAAGAAGU